rnacentral:rRNA from 1 species
AGAGUUUGAUCCUGGCUCAGGACGACCGCUGGCGAUGUGCUUAACACAUGCAAGUCGAACGGUAAGGCCCCAGCUUGCUGGGGUACACGAGUGGCGAACGGGUGAGUAACACGUGGGUGACCUGCCCCGCACUUCGGGAUAAGCCUGGGAAACUGGGUCUAACACCGGAUAGGACCGCACCGUGAGGGUGUGGUGGAAAGUUUUUCGGUGUGGGAUGGGCCCGCGGCCUAUCAGCUUGUUGGUGGGGUAAUGGCCUACCAAGGCGGCGACGGGUAGCCGGCCUGAGAGGGUGGACGGCCACAUUGGGACUGAGACACGGCCCAGACUCCUACGGGAGGCAGCAGUGGGGAAUAUUGCACAAUGGGCGGAAGCCUGAUGCAGCGACGCCGCGUGGGGGAUGACGGCCUUCGGGUUGUAAACUCCUUUCACCAUCGACGAAGGUUUUCUGACGGUAGAUGGAGAAGAAGCACCGGCUAACUACGUGCCAGCAGCCGCGGUAAUACGUAGGGUGCGAGCGUUGUCCGGAAUUACUGGGCGUAAAGAGCUCGUAGGUGGUUUGUCGCGUCGUCUGUGAAAUUCCGGGGCUUAACUCCGGGCGUGCAGGCGAUACGGGCAUAACUUGGGUACUGUAGGGGAGACUGGAAUUCCUGGUGUACCGGUGAAAUGCGCAGAUAUCAGGAGGAACACCGGUGGCGAAGGCGGGUCUCUGGGCAGUAACUGACGCUGAGGAGCGAAAGCAUGGGUAGCGAACAGGAUUAGAUACCCUGGUAGUCCAUGCCGUAAACGGUGGGCGCUAGGUGUAGGGGUCUUCCACGACUUCUGUGCCGUAGCUAACGCAUUAAGCGCCCCGCCUGGGGAGUACGGCCGCAAGGCUAAAACUCAAAGGAAUUGACGGGGGCCCGCACAAGCGGCGGAGCAUGUGGAUUAAUUCGAUGCAACGCGAAGAACCUUACCUGGGCUUGACAUAUACGGGACCGGGCCAGAGAUGGUCCUUCCCUUGUGGCUCGUAUACAGGUGGUGCAUGGUUGUCGACAGCUCGUGUCGUGAGAUGUUGGGUUAAGUCCCGCAACGAGCGCAACCCUUGUCUUAUGUUGCCAGCACGUAAUGGUGGGGACUCGUGAGAAACUGCCGGGGUCAACUCGGAGGAAGGUGGGGAUGACGUCAAAUCAUCAUGCCCCUUAUGUCCAGGGCUUCACACAUGCUACAAUGGUCGGUACAGUGGGUUGCGAUGCCGUGAGGUGGAGCUAAUCCCUGAAAGCCGGCCUCAGUUCGGAUCGGGGUCUGCAACUCGACCCCGUGAAGUCGGAGUCGCUAGUAAUCGCAGAUCAGCAACGCUGCGGUGAAUACGUUCCCGGGCCUUGUACACACCGCCCGUC